GUCCGUGGCUUGGGAAAGUGACGCUUGAGCCUGCAGAUUUCUGGGAACGACGCGGGUUCUCGCGAGGGCCACCCAGGUCCUGAAGGAGUUAAAAGACAGCGAAGUCUGCAAGCUGGGUUAGCGUUGGGACAGCUCGCUCGUUAGUGUCUGUUUGCGUCGUUAGUCUAGCCUGGAGGGUAAAAGCUGUACCGGAGUCUCUUCUGUUGUAAUCGUGUUUGCCAACACCCAUGUCUCCCUUAUUUCCCACCCUAGCUGCGAAUCUCCGGAUAAAUUAGAUCCCUCGGGAACCAUAAGUGUAAAGAACGGAGCACAGUCAAAUAUUGUGAAAAGCUCUUUCCAUAAAUGUGUGUGUGGCGUUUUUAAUGUAGGCCCGUUCUUGGGCAUGCAUUUUUUCCCCCACGGUUCCACUUUAGGAUAUAUAUUUAAGGUAUUACUCCAUUUUAGCGAGGAAGCAAUAGAAACAAACUUGGUCUUGGGGGCUGCAGAGAUGGCUAAGCUGUUUUCUGCUCUUGGAGAGGACUUGGGUUCAUUUCCCAGCACCUACAUGGCGGCAGUUCCAGGGGAUCCCACGUCGCGCCAAACAACAGAACCUUACUGCCUAACUGUUCUGAAAUGCAGAUGUUAGUUGGUUGAGCAGGGGGCCCUUUUUGAAGCCCCAAGGAGUGAGUGGACGUCCCAUGUAUCUUCAGCAUCUGGUGCUUCAGACGUUCCUUGGCUUAUACCUGACUCCUGCCCCUGCCUUUCAUUCUCUUCCGUCUUUGUUGUGAGAACACUUGUCAGUUUGUUAAGAUAGCUUGCAAAUAAGCUUAGAGACUAUAAUUCCCUGUGGACACUGUCUCUUGUGUCGCUGGUAACACAUCUUUAAGUGUUACGGCUCUGUUAGGGGAAGGCUUCAGCUGCUGGGAAAGUUUCCCUGAUGCAGGUGUUACAGCUUUGCUCUGGCUCAUAGAAAAUUUUCCCUGUGACAGUUCUGCUCCAAAAGGUAUCCUGGCAGUCAGGAGCCAAGGAAUACCACAAAGUCUUGCUGCACAACUAAGCUCAGGCAAGGGAUUAAUUUGGAGGGAAAAGCUAAGGAGGGUGGUUGCCCUGCUUGGAAGAGAAGCAACAGAGAACUGGGCAGAAUUGGGGGAUGGGGAAAUAUAUCAGGAUUCUGGGGUGGGGGGUUACUUUCCAGGGUGGUCUGGGAUUUUAUUUUACUUUUUUCUUGUACGGCGAGACCUGGGCUGGGAAUGGCUAUUACAGCCUUUAAAAGAUGACCAUUAGGGAAGUCAAGGGCACAUGUGUGUGUGGGGGGGGGGGUCUGGCUAUUUCCUGCCUUGAAGCACUAGAAAGGCAGUUACAGCUGUUUUAGCCUUUACACCCUUGCUAGAGCUCCUGAGGCCAAGACCUAGCCACUUUUGUGCCUUGAGGAUUUACAACGGCUACUAAGUAUACAAAAUUUACAAAGGGAGGUCAUGGCAGAAAAGCCUGUUGCUUGAGUUGGUGUAAAUGGCCAGCAAUACCUAUUUGAAGAAAGUGGAAAAUACCACAGUUGAUCCUUUUUAGAAGUACCAUGUGAAGGAUGUAUUAUAACUUCCCCUCAAUAUUUAAUAUUAUACAGUUACAAGAGGCUUAUGAAAGCAAAUUCCAUAGAUAUUCCAUGAAGGAACGGAGUUGCAGGGCUCUAUUGUGACCAAUCAAGGAAAGGUUAUAAAUAUCCUGAUAAAGUCUGGCUAUAUUAUUUUGUUUCACUUUAAUUUUAAAAAGAUCUUCAGGUUUUGUUUGGUUGUUGUUGUUGUUGAUGAUGAUGAUGAAAAAAAUAGACCCAAGUUGUACCUCUGUUGCUGGGUAUGACUUAGAACACAUAUAUUCUAAACUGAUCAGAAAAUAAAAUUACAAAAACAUAUCAGACCCUCCAGUUAAUCCAGAUCUGCCUGUCAAGCAUCUGGACAGGAAAUGUUCUGGAAACCUUAACGAAAUAUAAUAAACUUAAAAGCAUGUUAAGAUGGGAGCAUGCUUGUCUCCUCAGUGAGCCAUGCACUUAUGAAUAUCCCCGAAGCUUCUCUCACAAGGCAGUCGCUUACAGAUGCUCUCUGCUCUGAGACCCUGCUUUCGGAAUUACAGCUGACUCCAACUCUUCCACCUCCCUUUUUAUAUCUCCCUGCUCUGGAUAACAGCCCGAUCCCAAACUGGAUUGCCUUCACUCCCUGGACAGUUGUUUUCUCUGAAGAUCCCUCCCCGACUGGCCAUGCACUAGGCUACAUGUUACUGAUCCUGCCUACUUUCUUGACUAAUAAUUUGAAAAACUUAGCUUUCUUCUUACCCAGUGCUCUCUUCCUGGAAGCUGUCAAGAGCUCUAGCUUGCUGACCCUUUUUGUUUUCUCAAACACACACAACAUACACCACACACACACACACAUUGCUGUUAAGAUAGCUCAGCAAGUGAAGGUGCUUGCCCCAGGCCUGAAGACAGACAUGAAUUUAAUCCCUGGAGCCCAACUUAUCCUCUGACUUCCAUACAUGUACCAUUGUAAAUACACACACAAUAUGAUUUUUUAAAAGCACCCUUAAAAAUCAAUAAAAGCAAACUCCAAUAAAAUUGUCCUUGAGUUUUUC